rnacentral:misc_RNA from 1 species
UCUCCGUAGGUGAACCUGCGGAGGGAUCAUUACAGAGUUCUCGCCCUCGCGGGUAGAACUCCCACCCACUGUUAUCGUUACUGUGUUGCUUUGGCGGGCCGCCGGGCCCCGCUCGGCCGCCGGCUCCGGCUGGCGCGCGCCCGCCAGAGGCCCAGCAAACUCUGAAUGUUAGUGUCGUCUGAGUACUAUAUAAUAGUUAAAACUUUCAACAACGGAUCUCUUGGUUCUG